rnacentral:lncRNA from 1 species
ACACCUGCCACAUUUCAUCAAUGAUAUCAGCCAUAGUGUUUCAAGCUGAGAAACAUCUGGAAGUGAUUUUGCUUAUUAUAGUGUUGUCAUGCUAUUUUUGUUGUUCCUAUAACUUAAAAACUUUUUUGACCUUUUAUUAAAUAGUGGUGCCAAUGCUGGAAAAAUAUUCACCAAAUCAAUAAUUUUGAAAUGCAAAUUAGAUACAAUAAAACACUGAAGAACUUUAAAUAACUGCCUUGAUAUAUCCUGGCCUAAAUUUAGAAACCCAGAACCUGAGACAAUAUUUUUUUUUAAAGAAAGUAGUAUUAAAGCAAAAAUUUACCAUAAUAGCAUAGAUUCCAGAGCACUAAGAACACAUACCUAUUUUCCAAUUAUUCCCAUGAGAAAAAUAGUCUUGAACUAGGUAGGUUUUAAAUUAUGACAAGUCUUUGGAAAUUCAUUCUUUACUAAACCACAACACUCAAACACCUCAUACUGAUGGCUACUUCCCUGGGAAGUUUUAUGGUUUAUGCCAUUUGCCUCAUCUGAUCAUCCUCCCAGUCUCAGUGGACACUUGAACUCCUCUUGCUGGACCUAGUAUCUCCCACACCCUGGAGCACUGAACUCCUUUCUCCCCUCCCAAACUCCCUGUGUUUGAAUUCACCAAGCUUACCUCUUAAGUUCUAUAGGAUCAUGUCCCAAAUCUAAUCUUCUCAGGUGCAAGAAACAACCUUCUAGAACUAAUGAUUUUGUCAUAAAAUAAAAGAAUCUUAGUGAUGGGAGAAAUCUUAUGGGGAGUGUAAAUUGACUUGUGUCAAUGAUUCAAGGAUGAGGUGCUCUCCUGUUUUUUCAGUACUCUUAUAUGGCUUGUAGACUGUUGUAUGCUAAUACUAUCUCAGCUAUUUAACAGGAGAAAGUGUAUCUGAAAUGACUUAGAUUUCAAAGGCAAAACAAUGCUAAACAUGCAGUAUAUGUUUAUAGGUAGAAUGCAAAAUAUGUAAAAUAUAUACAAUAAUGUACAUACAUAUAUGUUCUAUACAGAUUCAAUAAAUGUAAGCCCUGGAGAUAACAGUAAGUUAAAAACAAUUAGAUCUCCUGGAGCUUAAAAUCUAGUUAGGGGCAGUACAAUGGUUACACAUAGGUAUAUUUAAUGAAGUGCAAAAGAAAGGUUGGGGACUGUGAGCACUCACUGUUAUCUCUGUUCCCUUCCUGUGAAGUUGCUGAGGUUCACUGCAAGUGUUCCCUUGGCAGCCCAAUCUCAGUUUUAACCAACCCUGCUUCACAUAACUAGUCCACUUCAGGCUGUGUUUACACAGCUCUUUGUCAAAGUGAUAACUGGAACCUUAAUAGUAAGUUUUCUGUGAGAAGUUGAAUCAAGGAAGAAAUUGAGGUGGUUUUUCAAAUAGAAAAAAAAAAAAACUUACUGAGUCUGAGUACUUGUUUAAUCACUUUAAAGCCUACCUAGAAGUACAUAUGUGUGGUGAUCCCCAUGCUCUCACUGUCCAGCUCCAGCAACUCUCAACACAGCAGUCUUGUCUCACACAUACCUCACCCACUUCCUGUCCACCACUGGCUCAUUUUGAAGCACACCUCACGCUUCAUUUUGUCCACAAAAACUUCAGUACCAUUUGUUAAAACUUGAAGGCUUAUCAAGACACCAGUUUCAGUGUUUGGGCCCGAAGACUGCUUGGGUGAUUUUUUUUAUACUUCUUUGCAAUGUGCCUGACCAGUACGUGCAAAAUGUUUGAUUGUUUCUCUCUCUCUCUCUCUCUUUCUCUCUCUCUCUUUAGAUCAGAACUGAUCAGUGGUUUUGGAUAUCAUUAGAUUGAUCCAACAACUAUUACAAUGUUCCCAUUGGUUUUUGCUCAGGUGAUUUUAGUACCUAGCUAUUGAUGGUCAUUACCUAGAUCCAUUAUUUCACUGGGAACUGAAAGAUAAUAGUAUCUCAAUUCUAGCAUUCCUCCUAAACUCAUUCUUCUAUAACUCUUCUGUAAGGAAAUACUGCUACUUUCAUCAACUCUUUGGUGAUCCCAAUAUGAAGUUUAUUCCAGAACAGCAGAGUAAGUGCUUGAUUCUUUUCCUUUACUUAGGGACUGUCAGAAGGAUUUGGUUCUCCCAGCCUCCACCAAAAAAGUUAAUUGUGUUAGUCAGCUUUCUGUUACUGUAACAAAUGCCUAAGAUAGAUCAACUUAAAGUUUAUUUUAGCUCACAGUUUUGGAGGUUUCAGUCCUGGACUGGCCCUUCUGCUUUCAAGGCUGUGGCGAGGAACACAUCAUAGCAGGAGCACGUAGUGGAGAAGAACUGCCCACUUCUUGGCCCAGAAUGGGAGAAGAGAGGACGGGAGGACUGGGUAUGAGUCCAAGCACUUUUUGAGAGUUCAUUUAAAUCCCCUUCUUGCUCUAGCUUAGGGGGAGGCCCAUAUAAGGACGGCCUUAGGCCUUAGCCUAAGCAACUCCAUUUUAAAAAACCUGCAGUCUCCCCAGGCACAAGCUUACAGAGCCCUCCAAUAUGCCAUCAGGCAUAGCCUUGUAAACAAGUCACUUUCCACAAUGCUGACAAGAGUCAGAGUGAAGCCACUUAGUAUAAACAUGUCACUCACUUGCCUUAACCCUGAUAAGAGUCAAGAGUGUAAAAUCAGGGCAGAAGCCACCAAACCGUAUGGCUUGGCUCUAAAAUGUAAAACGUCACUAAGAAACCUGGUAACAGCUGAUAGGGACCCAAAGGGCAAGCAGAAGCUCCAAAAAUUAGUAUAAAUAAUAGAGCAAAAGGACAGACAUUCAGCCAGCUGACACUGAUGCACACUUGCUGGAGAGCCUGAUGAGGACCUGAACUAACAUCCCAAUUCUUCUCAUCAUCUUCCUGAUCCUCUUCAUCUUCCUCACCACUCUCAAGCUCUACAGCAGCCUCUUGACCCUGUUGAGAACAGCAACCUCUCCUUAUAUCUCCUUGACAGCCAUCAACCCCACUCCAGAAGAAGCCUCCACCGGUUGCUGACCUGAUCGCUGUGGUCUGAGUGAGUGUGCAUCUGCUGGACUUAAGGCCUAAGGCUUAAGGCUUUAGAUCUGGCACUUGAGCUUAGCACACAGAGGGAAUGUCUGUCAUGAGUCUGUCCUGAUUAAGUGUGUCUGCAGUGCCUGGAGUUAACUUAGAAUUGUUUGCUUUGAAUUGAUUAUGUCUGUUUUAGUGCCCAGCAUUAAGGGUUGUCACUUCUUGAUUAAGAACCCAUUGAGUGAAUUGUAUUGAGUGAUUUGAAUGAAUAAAGCAUGUAGGGCAGAA